rnacentral:rRNA from 1 species
UGGGAAAUAUUGCACAAUGGGCGCAAGCCUGAUGCAGCCAUGCCGCGUGUAUGAAGAAGGCCUUCGGGUUGUAAAGUACUUUCAGCGGGGAGGAAGGCGAUAAGGUUAAUAACCUUGUCGAUUGUCGUUACCCGCAGAAGAAGCACCGGCUAACUCCGUG